rnacentral:pre_miRNA from 11 species
AGCUGUAUUUUUAAGGACAGUGGACUCAUCCAUAAAGUAGAAAGCACUACUAAACGCCUGUGCCCAAGUGUAGUGUUUCCUACUUUAUGGAUGAGUGUACUGUGAGCAACGGAGGCAACAC